UUGUUGUUGUUGCUAUCUCUUGGGCCGCUCCCUCGGCAUAUGGAGGUUCCCAGGCUAGGGGUUGAAUCGGAGCUGUAGCCACCGGCCUACGCCAGAGCCACAGCAACUCGGGAUCCGAGCCGCGUCUGCAACCUACACCACAGCUCACGGCAACGCCGGAUCGUUAACCCACUGAGCAAGGGCAGGGACCGAACCCGCAACCUCAUGGUUCCUAGUCGGAUUCGUUAACCACUGCGCCACGACGGGAACUCCUCAGCUCUUCACGAGUAUUCACUGAAACAGAUUUAUUUAGUUAUUUAUACUCAGGGUUCUGCAGAAGAUUUGACAUGAGAUAAAUAAAAAGAAGAAGAAAAAAAAAACAGUGACUGAAAAAUGAAAAUAACAUUCUGUGAAAAAGAGAAUAUUUCUCAUGUGGUGAAAGAAUCACACUUCUGGGUGGCGCAGUCUGAGAAACGGUUUGCUUCCAUAACUGAUCUGAAACUUAACCACAAGUCUUCGCUUCUGAACCACGACCUUCUAUCUGUGAUGAAAAGGUUUCAACAGCAGGCUUUCCCGGCUUCUUAAAAAAAUUCCCUUCCUUCGUUUGCAUGUAAAGAUGCAAUUUCAUCUUUCUGGUAGGAACGAGCAAGCACUGUCAUCCUUUAAAAUCCUGGUGAUAAUCAAUCAUGAUGAUCACCCUGGUUAUUCUAGCUCCGCUCGGAAGCCUUGAAAAGAAGUAGUGCAAAAUUCAUGUAAACUUACAUUCUCAUUUAUCCCCAUAGGAUCAGUGCCAAAUGAUAUUUAAGGAAGUAGGAGGACCAACACUGACUUCUUUGAUUCCAAUACUGAAAUUGGAUUGUUUCAUAAUUGUUUCACACUUCCUAUAUCACCUAAAUCUAAGCACACAACUCACUGUAUUAUCUGUUUAUCCUAAAAGUUACUUGAAUGUUUAUCUCUACUUCAUGCAGUGUUUGUUAAAAGUUUUAUUGAAGUAUAGUUAAUUAAAAGGUUUUGAUAAUUUCUGCUGUACAACAAAGUGGCCCAGUCAUACAUAUACACUUACCCAUUCUCUCUGAGAUUCUUUUCUCACAAAGAUUAUCACAGAAUACUGGGUAGAGUUCUCUGUGCUAUAUACAGUAGGUCCCUGUUGGCCAACCAUUCCAUACACCUCAGUGCAUCUUCAUGCAGUGUUUUAAAGCACAAUGUUCUAAAAAACCUGUGUAACAUAUACUCAAUUUCUUUGGCAAAUUGCAUGUACUUAAGUGAAUAAAGUGCUCUAACCCUAUGUCUUCAGAAACUAAGGUGGAGGGGUGGUAUCACAGUUUUGCAUUUAUUUGAAAAUUGGUUUAUUGCCAAAAAGAGCCAUAAUAGUUCACUUUUUUCUACAAAUUUACUUUUUUGAAAAAAAAAUCUUUAGGUUUAAAAAAGAUAAAAUGAAUGAGGCUCUCUUUAAAAAAACAACAACACUAAAGGUAGAAGAAUAGAAUUGAGGUUGAAACUUAGAAGAAGGAGAAGGAGGAGGAGGAGGAAGAGAAGAAGAAGAAGAAGAAGAAGAAGAAGAAGAAGAAGAAGAAGAAGAAGGAAGAAGAAGAAUUACCACAAAAGUCAUAAUAACUCUUUACUCACAAACAAAAUCUCACUUGAGUACUUAAAUUUAAUUUUAAUUUAAUAUGAGGCCAAGAAGAAUUUUAUAAGUCAGCUGUAAUCUACCCUUAAGUUAAAAACAUUUCCCUUACUUCUUUCCAAGCAAACUUUUAAAAUUCAUUAUCUCCUCCACAGAUACGUUCCUAAUAACCACGCAAAACAUAAAUUACACUUUUGAGUCUGAUGCAGAAUGCCCCAUAGCAAUCGAGAAAAUAACUUCAACCUUUGACCUUCUCCACUAGCCUGAUGGGAAAUUCAUUGGCACCAUUACCGCUGUUAGCGUUCCAAGAAUAAGUAACCACUAGAGGGCAGUCUUAUCUCAGCUCUGACACACUACUUUGGGGAAAAAUACCUCAUAAAUGCUUUCAGUGUUCCCUUAAUUAUUUUUCAAUAUCUUUGAUUUUCUUAGGUAUUUAAUAAUGAACUUCAGCUCAUCCAAGAGCAUUCCCAAGUUGCUCAAAAGUCCACUUUCACAAAUUACAGUGGUCUCACAAAGGCUGGCCAUGACAUGGCCUAAAGAUACAGCCUAGUUUACGUAUCUUUAAGAAAUUUAAACAAAACUUAAAAUCUUUACACUUUACUACCUGGUGGGUUAAGUACUGAGUCAAGCAUACCACAACUAGGAGUCAGGUUCCACUUUUGGUACAAAAAAUUCAAGAGGUUCUAGACAAAAUGAAAUGUGCUUGAGAAAGAAACUGACUGUGGUUAUGGGAAGGCAGAUUAUGAACAGAACAGAGU
ensembl:lncRNA